rnacentral:rRNA from 1 species
CCUUUGUACACACCGCCCGUCGCUACUACCGAUUGAAUGGCUCAGUGAGGCGUCCGGACUGGCCCAGAGAGGUGGGCAACUACCACUCAGGGCCGGAAAGCUCUCCAAACUCGGUCAUUUAGAGG